rnacentral:misc_RNA from 1 species
UCCGAGUUGACCCCUAUCUCUAGGGGCUUCUGGCGUAUGUCAAACCCAGGUAAGGUUCUUCGCGUUGCAUCGAAUUAAUCCGCAUGCUCCGCCGCUUGUGCGGGCCCCCGUCAAUUCCUUUGAGUUUUAGCCUUGCGGCCGUACUCCCCAGGCGGGGCGCUUAAUGCGUUAGCUACGGCACGGAACCCAUGGAAUAGGUCCCACACCUAGCGCCCAACGUUUACGGUGUGGACUAC